CCAACGAUCAAAUCACCCUUUUUUCCUUUUCUGCUGUGUGAACUCCUCAACAGCAAAGAUGAGUUUUCUACGGCUUAAAGUUACAAGGGUCAAAGGAAAAACUGCCCUAACUGCAACUCAAAGUUCUUUAUUUUUUUAAAAAAAAUAUGUAUAGAUAAGAAAACAAUAAGAAACAAAACUUCAAAAAGGAAAAAGCUAAUCAUGAAAGUAACCAUAAAUAUCCAAUUCCACAUCGAAGUAUAACAACUUCACCCAGAAAAAAAGAGAAAAAACUAGGUAUCCUCAGUGCUCAAAUGUCCAUUUACCAUCAAUAGAUUGGAAGUUCAAUUCCUAUAGAGGUCACCAUCACCAAGAAUAUUGAAACCUUCAAAAAUCAAAGCAUAAAAUAUAUAAAAUAUCGACAUAAGCAUGAAAUAAGCCCAUCUUGAAUAUUCCAGA
rnacentral:lncRNA from 1 species